CGUCACGGGGUGCUUGCAAUUGGCCAUCCUGAAUAAGUUGGGGUUGACUGCCAAGAGCCAAGACCGAGGCCGACCGGCACUGCGCGUUCGCAAAACCUCCGAAAAGCACAAAAGUCAACCCGUGUCGAUGACAGCCGGAAGGGACCACUCAGCUAUUUUUAUUUAUUUUUUUUUCAUUUCCCCCCUUUCCCCAACUCUGACACUCUUAUACCCCUCAUUCGAUACUAUUCCCAAAAAUGUCGAAUUCCCCCAUUCCAAAUACCGCAACAUUCAGUAAGAUAAAAUUUACACGUGACUCUUUGACAUUUCAAUGACUCGUCUACGCUGACCCGAUCGUUCGGACAAUGGAGGACGUGGCUUGCACUUGGUGCAGAGGGUGAAAGAGGGAGCGAAGAAUCGCAGUGAAGUGGCAGCAGGGCUGCUCGGGCUAAUGGCUCGGGGAUGCUAUUUUGUUAAACAAGGAAACCUUUUAUCCCCAUACCCAUCUUCGGGAGCUGAGAAACUCUGGAAUCCAGGGACGCUCCUUGGGUUCCUUACGAGGGUCCAGACUAAGGCUGAGAACCAGCUGCGGUUCUAGCCGCCCCUGAAAGUUCACUCGGUAUCUUGUCAUCGCGAGCGGCUUGAAGUGCGAACCGCCAACCGCCGCGACAAGAUGCCAACUGCUGAUUCUCACAGCGCCCACGCGUCUCCCUUAUCGCGAAUUCUUUCAAUUUUUCUCUGGAGGUGCUAUUCCUAGUCGAAGAAGUAUCACUAGGCUUUAUACUGCCUUUUGUGCCGAUCAAUAGUAUCUUGGUCGGUGGUUAAACUUGUAUUUUUUUCUGUAAUAGUGGUACUGGUCUUGAUACGGGUGAAUGAUAUGAGAAAGCCUGGAAAUAUAAUUUUAACACUAAACAUACCUACAAUUUUUUAUAAACGUAUUUUUGGCUUUAAAAGGGUCAAAUGACCCGUCGAUGGUACGAUUAGUGUUAAUUAGAAUUUCACGCGUUGAAUAUUAUUCUAAAAUAAAAGGGAAUACAAAAGUUAGAUUAUUCUAGUGGAAUUGAUCGUUGAUUGUCAGACAGUGGAAAUUGAAAAAAAAAAUGUGGUUCCGGCCGGGAUCGAACUGGCGACCUUCUGCGUGUAAAGCAGACGUGAUAACCGCUACACCACGGAACCGUAGAUGAAAGGUUAUGCUUAGAA